rnacentral:rRNA from 1 species
GUAGGGAAUCUUCCGCAAUGGACGAAAGUCUGACGGAGCAACGCCGCGUGAGUGAUGAAGGUUUUCGGAUCGUAAAGCUCUGUUGUUAGGGAAGAACAAGUACCUGUUAAAUAAGCAGGUACCUUGACGGUACCUAACCAGAAAGCCACGGCUAACUACGUGCCAGCAGCCGCGGUAAUACGUAGGUGGCAAGCGUUGUCCGGAAUUAUUGGGCGUAAAGCGCGCGCAGGCGGUUCCUUAAGUCUGAUGUGAAAGCCCACGGCUCAACCGUGGAGGGUCAUUGGAAACUGGGGAACUUGAGUGCAGAAGAGGAGAGCGGAAUUCCACGUGUAGCGGUGAAAUGCGUAGAGAUGUGGAGGAACACCAGUGGCGAAGGCGGCUCUCUGGUCUGUAACUGACGCUGAGGCGCGAAAGCGUGGGGAGCGAACAGGAUUAGAAACCCCGGUAGUCC